AGAAGUAGAACAGCAUUUACACUCCGUUACGAAAUCGAAGCAUUUGUAAAAUAAUCUGUGAAAUAUUUGAUUAUUAUUUGAUGCCCUUUGGUCUAUCUAUCUAUCAACGGAAGACAAAAAAACAACACAAUAAGGCACCCUCUGUCAGCGAUCGGUAUUACACUCGAUGAUAUAAAACAGAUAUCAAGGGUGCAGCUUGUGAAGACCAGUGCAUUCUUCAGCAUUCAAAUAGGUAAGAACAUCAUUGUUCAUUUCCUGCUAUUGAGAUGAGUAAUGCACUUGCUCCACUUCAAAUUUGACCAUGUUAGCUCAUCAACGAGACCACAGCAGAUCAACCCGUUACUUCGCUACCAGUUUUUUUUUGCAGAAUCUGUGUGAUCACCCUGGCAGAGACUCACCCUAUUCUUCAGAAUGGCAGGACAAUCAAGAGUUAUCAACUAUCAAAUAAGUCGCCUGCAGAACAGAGUGUCUGAGAAGUCGAAGAGAUUAUGUGCUACUUCAUUUAAAAAAUAAUUGUAUAUAAUCUGGUAUAUUAUCUUCCAUACAUAAAUAUAUAUUAUAUUAUUAUCUGGUAGGUUAUACUACUGCUAUAUACUAUGGUAUUGUCAUCCUCUGAGUUUGACUUUUCCCAGGGAGGGCAACUUGUACAAGUGGGGAGGAGUACACCACUUACAGGUCAUUACAACCUUUUCUCUCGUAUUAAGAUGCACCUCGGCAGAUAAUCCACCGUUUAUGGUUAGUGCCAUUUAUUACUCGUAGAUCUUUUGUGACGAUCCUGAAAUGGAAUCCUAGUUUCUCUUUUCAGCUGCAUACGGAGUCGGCUACUGGAGGUCAAUGAGGUUAUUCUUGAAAGGCCAAAACUUUUACUGGGAAAGCCUUCCAGAGGGAUACAUUGCUGUCAUCCUCCUUAAAAUAGAGAGCAAGACGGUCACUAACGGUCUCCUGAGCAGAGAGGAGUACGAGAGCGUCAUCUCUAAACGGACCAGCAGCACCCAGCCUGAGCCAUGCUGAGGAAUGAAGAGUUCACAGGGACUCGCCACACUCACCUCAGCUGGAGUGACUUUUCCUGGGGCAGCUUUGUUGGAGGGGUCCCUCGUCUCCUUCAGACCCAGCCAGACCUAGGUACCUGCAUAAAGCAUACCCCUGUCCAGAUAUGGACUUAUGCCUGUGGUGGAUGACAGGGGGGUGAUGGAGGUUCUCUAGCCUCUACCAGGAGUAGGUAGUCCUGUGCAAAUACUUUUGUUUGUUUUGUUGUAACAUGGAAGAAAUUGAGCCAGUUACCUUUUUUACCUCUUACCUUUUUUACCUCUUUCUAAAGGAGGAAAUUCGUAAGAUAUUUCCAUUCCAUCGGUCAUUGACAAUGUACCAAAAUAACUUCAUAAAUUACCCAAUCCACCCUG